AGCCCCCCUCAAGAUGAGAUUUCCCAAUUCGUAAGACCCCUUGAAGACGACGAGGUAGAUAGGUUGGAGGUGGAAGUGCAGCAAUGCAUGGAGCUGACCAAUACUAAUCGGUCGAGGGCUUAUCCUAAAA
rnacentral:rRNA from 1 species